UGGGGAUAGUAAGCAGACUCCCCGGCGUUUCAAGACGCUCAUCGCGUCCAAGCUCUGC
rnacentral:ncRNA from 1 species